UACGUAGGUGGCAAGCGUUGUUCGGAAUUAUUGGGCGUAAAGGGCGCGUAGGCGGUUUGUUAAGUCAGCUGUGAAAGCCCGGGGCUCAACCCCGGAGGGUCCACUGAUACUGGCAAACUAGAGUACGGAAGAGGUAGCUGGAAUUCCCGGUGUAGCGGUGAAAUGCGUAGAGCUCGGUAGGAACACCAGUGGCGAAGGCGGCUUCUUGUGUCACUCUUGACGCUGAGGCGCGAAAGCUGGGGGAGCGAACGGG
rnacentral:rRNA from 1 species